UAGAACCCUCGUUAAGGAAUUAGGCAAAUUUCCCCCGUACGUUCGCAAUAAGGGGGGCCUCUGGUGGUGAGCUUAAUCGCAAGGCUGCUGGAGGCCGCAGAGAAAUGGCUCUUCCAACUGUUUAACAAAAACACAGGUCUCUGCUAAGUCGAAAGACGAAGUAUAGGGGCUGACGCCUGCCCAGUGCUGGAAGGUUAAGGGGAGAGGUUAGGCGCAAGCCGAAGCUUUGAGCCGAGGCCCCAGUGAACGGCGGCCGUAACUAUAACGGUCCUAAGGUAGCGAAAUUCCUUGUCGGGUAAGGUCCGACCCGCACGAAUGGCGUAAUGAGAGGAGCACUGUCUCAACGAGGGACUCGGCGAACAUUGAAGGACGUGUGAAGAUACACGUGACCCGCAGCGGGACAAAAAGACCCCGUGAAGCUUUACUACAACUUGCCAUUGAGUUAGGGCUAAACCUGUGUAGUAUAGGUGGGAGGCUUUGAAGCUGGGACGCCAGUCUCGGUGGAGCCACCGUUGAAAUACCACCCUGGUUUAUUCUUGGCUCUAACCUGUCGCCGUUAUCCGGCAUGGGAACAGUGGCUGGUGGGUAGUUUGACUGGGGCGGUCGCCUCCGAAAGCGUAACAGAGGCGCCCAAAGGUUCCCUCAGGCUGAAUGGAAACCAGCCGUUGAGUGUAAAGGCACAAGGGAGCUUGACUGCAAGACCAACAAGUCGCGCAGGGACGAAAGUCGGGCUUAGUGAUCCCACGGUUCAGAGUGGAAUGGCCGUGGCUUACCGGAUAAAAGCUACUCCGGGGAUAACAGGGUAGUCUGGUCCAAGAGUUCAUAUCGACGACCAGGUUCGCCACCUCGAUGUCGGCUCAUCACAUCCUGGGGCUGGAUAAGGUCCCAAGGGUUGGGCUGUUCGCCCAUUAAAGUGGUACGUGAGCUGGGUUCAGACCGUCGUGAGACAGGUCGGUCUCUAUCCGCUGUGGGCGUAAGGGAUUUGAGAGAAGCUGCCCCUAGUACGAGAGGACCGGGGUGGACGGACCUCUAGUGUGCCAGUUGUUCUGCCAAGAGCAUUGCUGGGUAGCUACGUCCGGCAGAGAUAACCGCUGAAAGCAUCUAAGUGGGAAACUCGUCUCAAGAUUAGAUCCCUCAUCCGUAUGGAGUAAGACCGCUAGAAGACUACUAGUUUGAUAGGCGGCAGGUGUAAGCGCAGUAAUGUGUUCAGCUUAGCCGUACUAAUGGUCGAGGGCUUACGUUU
rnacentral:rRNA from 1 species